rnacentral:rRNA from 1 species
GACGAACGCUGGCGGCGUGCUUAACACAUGCAAGUCGAGCGGUAAGGCUCCUUCGGGAGUACACGAGCGGCGAACGGGUGAGUAACACGUGAGCAAUCUGCCCUUCACACGGGGAUAACUCCGGGAAACCGGUGCUAAUACCCGAUACGACCACCUCAGGCAUCUGAUGGUGGUGGAAAGUUCCGGCGGUGAAGGAUGAGCUCGCGGCCUAUCAGCUUGUUGGUGGGGUAACGGCCCACCAAGGCAACGACGGGUAGCCGGCCUGAGAGGGUGACCGGCCACACUGGGACUGAGACACGGCCCAGACUCCUACGGGAGGCAGCAGUGGGGAAUAUUGGACAAUGGGCGAAAGCCUGAUCCAGCAACGCCGCGUGAGGGAUGACGGCCUUCGGGUUGUAAACCUCUUUCACCUAGGC